rnacentral:rRNA from 1 species
GAUGAACGCUGGCGGCGUGCUUAACACAUGCAAGUCGAGCGAGUGAGUUCUUCGGAACGAUCUAGCGGCGGACGGGUGAGUAACACGUGGGCAACCUGCCUCAUAGAGGGGAAUAGCCUCCCGAAAGGGAGAUUAAUACCGCAUAAAAUUAUCGAGUGGCAUCACAUGAUAAUCAAAGGAGUAAUCCGCUAUGAAAUGGGCCCGCGGCGCAUUAGCUAGUUGGUGAGGUAACGGCUCACCAAGGCGACGAUGCGUAGCCGACCUGGGAGGGUGAUCGGCCACAUUGGGACUGAGACACGGCCCAGACUCCUACGGGAGGCAGCAGUGGGGAAUAUUGCACAAUGGGGGAAACCCUGAUGCAGCAACGCCGCGUGAGUGAUGAAGGUCUUCGGAUUGUAAAGCUCUGUCUUUGGGGACGAUAAUGACGGUACCCAAGGAGGAAGCCACGGCUAACUACGUGCCAGCAGCCGCCGUAA